CACGUCGAUUCGCAAGGACAGAGCACGUCUCUUGCCCUUGCUCCUCGGGAUACACACAUUGACUCGGCUGCCCAGCAACCGGAUGAGGUGGAGCUUGCUCAUCCUGCUGAUCAGCCUCCUCCCGACGACGAUGAGGCAGUUUCGAUGGAUAUUGAGCUGCGCUAUGGCAGCCUCUUGAAGCUCAUGUUGUGAAAACCCUUUUUUGGGCAUUGUCAUUUGUUGGAAAAUGAUGAUUUGGUGACGUGUAGAAUGGUGUGAUUAAAC